CCUACGGGAGGCAGCAGUGGGGAAUAUUGGACAAUGGGGGGAACCCUGAUCCAGCGACGCCGCGUGAGUGAAGAAGUACUUCGGUAUGUAAAGCUCUAUCAGCAGGGAAGAAAAUGACGGUACCUGACUAAGAAGCCCCGGCUCACUACGUCCCAGCAGCCGCGGUAAUACGUAGGGGGCAAGCGUUAACCGGAUUUACUGGGGGUAAAGGGAGCGGAGAUGGUGUAGCAAGUCAGAUGUGAAAGCUCCGGGCUCAACCCCGGGACUGCAUUGGAUACUGUUGGACUUGAGUCCAGGAGAGGUAAGCGGAAUUCCUGGUGUAGCGGUGAAAUGCGUAGAUAUUAGGAGGAACACCAGUGGCGAAGGCGGCUUACUGGACUGUAACUGACGUUGAGGCGCGAAAGCGUGGGGAGCAAACAGGAUUAGAUACCCUAGUAGUC
rnacentral:rRNA from 1 species